UCCUUCUCUCUCUCUCUCUUUCUCUUUCUCUCAUCGGUGCCUGUCUCUCUCAUUUAAACGUCCUUUCAUUUUAUCUGUCGCCUUCCCCUUUUCUCUGAAGGAAGUGACUCCACACAUGCCCUUCACUAAAGGCUGGCCUGGUCUGGAGCCCAGGGAUCUCUCCAACGUGCUGAAAACAUUUCUGCUACAGAGCCAGGAGCCAGUAAUUAAGUAGACACCAGCUGUUUAACUCCAGCUCUGUUUUCUUUGAGGUCAUCAGCUUUGGUCUCACCCCCACCCAACUCCCCUUUCUAAUUAACACAAAGAAGUAGGUCCUGAGAUUAUAUCGAAGCACUCACGUAUCUUUGAAUAUGGCAAAGGAAUGGGGAGGGCAAGCGAGGGUUAAAUUCAGCUCGGAAAACAAAUCAAACCAGCUUUGCAAACUCCAAAUACGUACAUUUGACUCUUACCUAAUAUAUAACUUUUCUUUUCUCCCGGGAAAGUUUUCCCUGUAUACCUCCCCACUUCUUACGUAACACAAACCACAAACCACCAAAGCAUGGAGUUGGCGACCCCUAAUUUGCAUGUGUGCACGGAUUUUAAUGUGCAUGCUUUUUAUAGAGAUGUGUCCACAAAUAAUAGACGUGAAUGAGUAAGGAGUGCGUGUGACAGACACAGAAAGAACAUGAAUAUUUGUGCGCGAGGAGAGAGGAAGGAGAGAGAGAAAGGGAGGAGAGGGAGAACCGGAGAAAGGCGAAUGGAGCGUAGAAAACCGCUCCUGGGGUCCGCAAGGCUUUACCUGUCCCCUCCGAUCCCCUGACCCGUGGAGCAAGUGCAGCCAGCUAGCCGCAGAUCUCUCGCUGGGGUCCCAUCAUCGCCGCCGCCUUCGCCGCCGCCGCCGCCGCCGCCGCCGCCGCAGCUCCCUCCCGCCUUGCGGAGCUCAGCCCGCUGGUGAUUGACAGCUGGGCGGCCCGCGCGCCCGAGGCCCGCGCAGCUGCGGCGGCCGCCGGAAGGGCCACGUGCGUCCGCCGGGCGCGCUCCGGCGGCGCGUGGGCGGGGCCCCGCCGGGCGCGUGCGCCGUCCGGUCCCCGCCUGGUCGCGCUCGGGGAGGGAGCGGGGGCGGGGCGGCUGGCCGUUUGGGCGGCGGGUCGCUGUGUCCUAGGGAAGCGUCGCAGCACCCGGAGCAUGCUGUGCCCUCCUGCCCUCCUGGUGCCUUCUCCCGCCCAGCACAGCGCCUGGCCACAGCAGGUGCACUGCACGCUUAUUUUUAAAGUGAAUGUGUGCGUCUUGCGCCGCCGCCCCAUUUGGGAUACAUUUGGGGGUGUGCAGAGGCUUCUCCGGACUCUUGAGUUUUGUCCUUGGUGAGACAUGAGGUGAGGAGCCCCUUUGAAAGAACCUUCUGGCAGUGUCACCUGUGGGCACAUUCAGCCCCUCACCUGGUCCCCUGACCCCAAGGUCAUGGGGCGAGAUGGAAGAACGGUCAAGAGAGUGAAUUCAGUGAUGCUCUUCAAGGAAAACCCCACACACAGAUGCGGGAAAGCAAGAGCACACUAGAAAUUACCUGUGAAUAGCUCGGGAAAUGUGUGUAAAUGUGGGCGGGUUAGCAUGUAAAUACAAUGACCCCUGCUCCCGGAGACUCUGCAGACCACUGGUAAGUGGCAUUUAAUGAAAAUGAUCGCUGAAAUAGUUAAUACUUGUGCAGCCAUUCUGCACAUAGAGUAACAACAUGUUACAUGUAUAUAGUGCUUACUGUGUGCCAGGCAGGCAUUGCUAUAGGCACAUUAGGUAUAUAUUAAUUAUGCAUAUUAAGUCGUUAAAUCAUCACAUCAACUCUAUGUACGGGGGAGGCGUAUUCUUUGUUAUUCCCAUUUUUCAGAAGAGGAGGCCGAGGUAUAGAGAGAAGCCACUUGCACCCACCAUGACACAGACUCACAAUUACCUGUCACAGGUCACACAACGACUAAGUGGGAGAUAGGACUGGAAUCUAUAGAUUUAUCUCCUGGAGGGGACGUAGGGUAUACGUGACAUGGUGUCUGAAAACCACUAGGAAGCAACUCCAUCUUCAUGAAACGGUGAGCAGAGACCAAAGCAAAUGCUGAGCAAAUGCUUGGAAGCAAAGCAACCACAGGGAUGGCCUUGUUUCCUUGGUUCUUCUGGUUCUCAGCUCUUGCCCCAAGUUUCAACACUACUUUUCAACACUAUCCAAACCGACAGGCACUGCUUACUUUCUCCCUUUCCACUCUUCAGAAAGUACACCUUUCAGGACUUUUGACACGUUGCUUCUUAGCUUGCUUUUCUCAUAUUCAGUGAGUAGAUUGGGCGAAAAUUUGUUUAUUCUUAGAUUGUGACAUGGCUGCUGGGUUUUCCUUCCGUGAAAGUGAGUGAGAAUCAGCACACGUACGAAAACCCAGGGAUUCUCAGUUACAUGGCUAUCAGAGCUUAGGCUUUGGAAGGGCAUGACUGGCUUCCAGUUGUCUAUGGUGUUGGUUUCUGCUAAGUGUCCAGGUCCCCUUUGGCGAUGCAUGAAGAAUCUAUCAUCCAUUAGACAUUCAGAGGGCUCGGAAUUGGACCAACCUGGAUUUUAAUCCUGGCUGUGCCAACUGCUGCUAUUUAAGCUGGUCCUGUGGCUUUGCCACUGUAUACCUCAUUUUCCUCAGCUCUAAAAUGAUUAUAGGAGUAUCUAUUUCAUAUGGUAUUUAGGAGAAUUAAUUGAAAUUCUAAUUAUAAAGCAUGUAUCACAAUGACUGGUGCAUAUUAAGUAUUCAAUAAAUUAUAGGUCUGAUGGUAUAAAUUAUAGCGAUGAUGAUGGUGAUUUAGUUGAACAUGUUGGGAGCUUAUGAGUAUUUUCAGCUGGAAGUCUCAAGUCUUCUCAAUUUCCCAAGCAUUCUCCUUUUCCUUAUCUCCUCUCAACAGACCUAUUUCCAACUGAUGCUAUCUCUGGCUUCUCUGUGGACAUUUCUGAUAAAGCGACCCAGGGGUGGGUAUGCCUAUUCAGGAGCCCCGGGGGCAACCCAGGUCUUCCAAGUUCUUCUAGCAUAUCUGCCUUUGGUUCCUUCUCAGUCUGAAGUAGCUUGAGGUAAAGUAAGAUGCUUUACACAUCCCCAGACGCCCUUAAAAUGUGAUUUAUCACAAUUAUCUUGCCUUUCUCAAGUCCAUAGCUUUUAUUUAUUAGUUUUGCAAACAUUAGGGAACAAAGACGAUCAUUUAGAAGCAACUAAAUUUUCACUUAAACCAUGCUGCACCGUUUCCCCGGGUUGUAUUACAUAAAAACAUUUACCAGGGAAUGUCUUAAUUCAUUAUUCAGCACACAUUUGUGGAACGGCUGCCGUUCAGAGCACGAAGGGUGAGAUGCAGGCAGAAGCAUUAUGGAAAGUCACAGAGAAAAGGGGUCAGGAGAGGUCGUAGCCGCCCGAGUUGUUUUCCAGAAGGGAUGCUAUGAUUAGGCCUUACCCUGUCUUUGUGGACACUUCAUGAUUCCCUUCUAAGUUCAUUUCUCAUCUCACCGAAUGUAUCCAGUGUUCUGUAAACACAACUCACACGUUCUUCCUUCCCUUUAUUUCCUUUGGUGCUGCUUUGUGCUGUUUCCCCCAUAUGUGUGUCUCCAACUGCUGUGCAUUCUUCAAGUCCAAACAUCAGCACCAGCUUUUCAAUUAAGCCUUCUUUGAUAUGCUUGAAUAGGAGUCAUUCUUUAUUUUGAACCCAUACAGUGUCUCGUCUUACCUGUCUUACGGUAACACCGCUUUUUUUUUUUUUUGGCCUUGUAUUGACAUUAUUUAUCUAUUUAUUUACUCUCCAGGCUUGUAAACAUCGUCAAGGAAGGAUCUACCCACAAUUCACUUUGAAUUCUACACAAUGCCGAGUCUAUCACUUUGUAUAAAGUAAGUACUCAAGCCACACAGGAAGCCACCAACCUUAAAACUGAGUUAGCACGUUGAAAAAACAUGGCAAGACAGGGUCGUCCGCAUUGGUAGUGUCUUUGGCUUUCACGAUGAAUCACCUGCAUCCAUCACCGGUGUGUUGUGCCCCCUCACCCUCCACACCAGGCAAUUCUCUGAUACCAGCUGAGUAUCCUGCAAUUCAACUCAAGUUUGACACCGCCCACCUGGAGAUGGUUUCAGGUCCCACAGGGUAAGGGCUCAGACUUACAAGACUCCCUUCCCCACUGCAGGCACCUAUCAUAAAUGCAAGUUAUUACCUAUGCUUUUGACUCGCUGCUUAUAGAUUGGAGGUUACAGCAACCUUGCGUUCCAUGAAUUUGUUAGAGUGGAUCACAGAACUUGGAGAAACACUUUACUUGUCAGAUUACUAGUUUAUUAUAAAAGGAUGUGACCCAGGAACAGCCAGGUAGAACAUCCGCAUAGGGCAAGGUGUAGGGAAAAGGCAUGGAGCUUCCACGACCAUUCAGAGUGUACCAGCUGUCCUCAAAUCUCAACCAAUGUGUUCACCAACCUGGAAGUGCUUCAAGCCCUGUCCUUUUUAAUGGAAGCUUCCUUAUAUCACCCCAAUUGAUUACAUCGUCGACUGUUUGUGACUCAACUGGCAGCUCCUCUUUCGUCCUUGGAGGUUGAGGUGCACAGCUGAGACUCAAAGUUCUCGCCUUCUAAUCACAUGGUUUUCCCUCCUAGCAACCAGCCAGCCCCUCUCCUUAGGUUACCCAAGGGCUUUCCAAGUGUCACUUCAUCGACAUAACAGAAGACACCUUUAAUGCUCUCAUCACUUAGUGAAUUCUAAGAGUGUGUGUGUGUGUGUGUGUGUGUGUGUGUGUGUGUGUGUAUAGAUAUAGAUAUAGAAUAGGUAUAAAAUUUAUUUAUUUUUGAGAGAGAGAGUGCAAGCAGGGGAGGGUCAGAGAGAGAGAGAGGGAGACACAGAAUCUGAAACAGGCUCCAGGCUCUGAGUUGUCAGCACAGAACCCGAUGUGGGGCUUGAACUCACGAACCAUGAGAUCAUGAACUAAGCUGAAGUUGGAAGCUUAACCAACUGAGCCACCCAGGUGCCCCUACAAAUUCUAAGAGUUUUAAGAGAUAUGUGCCAGAAAUGUGGAUGAAGACCAGAUACAUAUUUUUUUAUUAUAGAUCACAACUUCACAAUGGGGAUAUUGUAAGUGAUAAUGCAUAUUAAUGGUACCUCUCAAGAAUUUCUUUCUAAAAAAGGGAACCAAUAUUAGAAUUGUAGGCUUCUGUGGAAUACUUGGAAACCACUGGCAAAGAUUUGAUUUCUCCUGGGUAAUUAUAUCACAGGCUGGAGCCAUGGUCAUGAUAGGUCAUGCCCACAAAAUGGUCAUUGAUGAAGCACUUUCAGCUUAGAAGGAGAUGAUAACUACUCUGCUGGUCCAGAAGCAGUUAAAAUAUUAGGCAACCAGUAGUUUGAUUUUCUGUUUCUGAAAUAACUGGUUCUUUGAUGUCCAGAUUACUUGUCUCUUUUAUAGGUAAAGCCAAAGAGGAAGGUUGAGAGUUACCCCUUGGGUUCUGUCUUAUUUAUCUAGUUGGUUGGAGAACAUGAGAAAGGGAACAGAAAGUGCAGUGUAAGUUGGCUGAAGACACCAGCCCUCUGGAGGAUACGAUUAGCAUUUGAGGUUAGAAACAAAUAGAACUAAGUUCAGUUCCUGCCAAGUGUUACCUUAUUCAUAUGGAAAGGAUCAGCAAGCUUUAGGAAAUGAAGUUCAGAAAUACUCAGGGAAGAUGCAAAGGUUGAACAGUUCACCAUUUUAUUUAUUUAUUAAAAUUUUUAAAAAUGUUCAUUUAGUUAUUGAGAGACAGGGAGACAGAGUGUAAUUAGGGGAGGGGCAGAGAGAGAGGGAGACAGAGAAUCUGAAGCGGGCUCCAGGCUCUGAGCUGUCGGCACACAUCCCGAUGUGGGGCUUGAACCCACGAACCUUGAGAUCAUGACCUGAGCCAAAGUCGGACGCUUAACCUACUGAGCCACUCAGGUCCCCCUGCUUCGCCAUUUUAGAAAAGCAAAUGUGAAGGGACUGGGUGGUCUAGUCGGUUGAGCAUCCAUUUUGGCUCAGAUCACAGUCUCACGGUUGGUGAGUUCGAGCCACAUUGGUCUCUCUGCUGUUAGUAUGGAACCUACUUCAGAUCCUCUGUCCCCGUCUCUCUCUGCCCUCCCCACGCCCCCCACUCACACCCUCUAUCUCAAAAAUAAAUAGAAUGUUCAAACAAAGCAAGAAAGAAAAGCCAAUGCGAGUUUGGGUUGGUAGGUACUUUAACGGGGACACAGUAUACACUGCUGUUAUCUAGUUCUGCUUAUCGUUGGUCACACCCGGAUUCAGGGCUGGGUUUUGCGCUACACCCCACAACCGGGGAAGUCAAGAGUUGGAGUUUGGAGUGUUCAGAGAAGGUCAAGAUUGCUGCCAUGUUAGAUGAUAAAACUACCAGUAAGGAUAAAAGAAGCCAACGUUUAUUGGUCUGGAAAAGAGGAGGUUGAGCAAUAAAUGAAUACAUCUUCCGAUGUUGUAGGAUAGGAGUUUGCCUCAUUCCACUCUCCUCAUGGCGGUAGAAUUACACAGAAUGAUAUUUGAAUGGAUCCUUGGGCUUCUUAUCUGUUACUUUUUUCAGGAAUCCCCCAGAUAGCAUUCCCCAGUAGGUAUCCAUUCAUUCACCCCUCAGGUGCCAGGCGAUGCUGCAGCACUCAAAAAUUUGAGGCUUUUAAUUUGUGGAGCCCAAAUCUGCAUCCACACAGCCUCUCCGUUGGUCCAGGUCCCCAUCUUUAGAGCCAGAGAAUAGCACCUCUUUCCUUUCCCACAACAAGGUCUUCUGUGUGGUGUGAGGACAGCUACCAUGUUCCUAUAAAGUGUUUUCAGGAUAUGCACUGACAGUACUUAGUUUUUUCAGCUCUUCGUCAUAGGCUUGAUUUCUCUUCUUGGUCUUUUUCCUUUAAACAAGUUUCAUUAUGCCAGUGUGUCUUUAAAGUUGUACCGUGGAGGACUGGGCAUGGCACUGUUGAGUGAACACUGUAGGGGAAAACGGGACAUCAGCUUCCUCAUAUUGUGUCUUUUGUUAAGGAAGGCGACAGCCAUGUA